rnacentral:rRNA from 1 species
AUUGAACGCUGGCGGCAUGCCUUACACAUGCAAGUCGAACGGUAACGCGGGGCAACCUGGCGACGAGUGGCGAACGGGUGAGUAACACAUCGGAACGUGCCCAGUAGUGGGGGAUAGCCCGGCGAAAGCCGGAUUAAUACCGCAUACGACCUAAGGGUGAAAGCAGGGGAUCGCAAGACCUUGCGCUAUUGGAGCGGCCGAUGUCAGAUUAGGUAGUUGGUGGGGUAAAAGCCUACCAAGCCGACGAUCUGUAGCUGGUCUGAGAGGACGACCAGCCACACUGGGACUGAGACACGGCCCAGACUCCUACGGGAGGCAGCAGUGGGGAAUUUUGGACAAUGGGCGCAAGCCUGAUCCAGCCAUGCCGCGUGCGGGAAGAAGGCCUUCGGUUGUAA